UUGCCCCUUCAACUGAUAUUUUUUCAGCUGCGCAACAAAUUUAUACUUACAUGCCUAUUUUUGCGAAUUCAGAGACAAACGCAAACUUCAUCUUUGGGGACUCAUUCUCUUCCAAUUCUUACUCUGCACUUAGUGGGUCUAGUGUUCAACCUCCAUCAACAAACUCCCAGUUUCUGCCUUUAGAAUUUUCAACUCCAAAUGAGGAAAAUAAUUUACUGACUUAUGUUUUCCCAGCUUCUUGGCCUGCACAUCCGGGGAUUAAUGUGUAUGGGCAAUCUGUGCUGCCAAGUGCUAAUCCAUGUAGUCAACCACCACAACCCGAUGCUAAUUACUGCAGCCAACCCUAAUUUCUUGAAAAGAAUAUACGCAAAUAUGCGGGUGGUGACGAUCUAUCUUCAACAUGUCGGGCGAUUGAAGGACUUAAAGUAGUUAAUGGUUUGGAGUGCAAAAUCGCUUGCAAUUCUUCCAAGAUUGCUCCAAGUUAGACGACAAGUAGCCUAAAAUCAGAACAGCCAGUGCCAUAACCGAACAAUGGGUUCAAAUGGUAAUUCAAUUAGACUACGAAGGCUACAACGAUAUCAGAGAUUACUCCUGGUAUAUACUUCGCUAGCAUAAGUAGAUAUGCAUGAGCUGAAGCAUUCUGACCAAAAUGUUGGUGCUCCUAGUUAAAUAGAAGCAGUAAGAGUGAUUCAGAUUCUUACCCAUAGUGAAAGGUAUUUAUUUUAAGAGAUAUGUUACUUGCAAUUGUGUUUUUUAUGAUGGUGCAUACUGAAAAAAUCUUUUAUGAUAGGGUUGG